rnacentral:rRNA from 1 species
AUUGAACGCUGGCGGCAGGCCUAACACAUGCAAGUCGAGCGGAUGAAGGUGGCUUGCUACCUGAUUCAGCGGCGGACGGGUGAGUAAUGCCUAGGAAUCUGCCUGGUAGUGGGGGACAACGUUUCGAAAGGAACGCUAAUACCGCAUACGUCCUACGGGAGAAAGUGGGGGAUCUUCGGACCUCACGCUAUCAGAUGAGCCUAGGUACGAUUAGCUAGUUGGUGAGGUAAAGGCUCACCAAGGCGACGAUCGUUAACUGGUCUGAGAGGAUGAUCAGUCACACUGGAACUGAGACACGGUCCAGACUCCUACGGGAGGCAGCAGUGGGGAAUAUUGGACAAUGGGCGAAAGCCUGAUCCAGCCAUGCCGCGUGUGUGAAGAAGGUCUUCGGAUUGUAAAGCACUUUAAGUUGGGAGGAAGGGCAGUAAGUUAAUACCUUGCUGUUUUGACGUUACCGACAGAAUAAGCACCGGCUAACUUCGUGCCAGCCGCCGCAGUAAAAC